CUAAUGAUUCAUAGUGUGCAGUUAUUAAAAAGUGUUACCGAUGUUUAUAACUAUAAUUUCCCAUAUAUAAAAUGUUUUUGUAUUGUAUAAUAGGCCUACAUACAAUGCAUGCUUGUGUUUAUGACUACAUAUGAACCAGGUACCUUGAAAAAGGCUACUAGCCGAAACGUUGGUUAAUUAAUAGCCUAUGCUUAAGUGAGUGUGCAGUUGUUCUCCUUCAACUGGUUCAUAUAUAUAUUUUUUUCCUUCAACUAGCACCUCCACAGGUGUGCGUUUGCUUUGCCUCAUUUGCUCUAUGUGUUUAUGACUAUAACUAAGCUUCUGUUCGCGAUUAUCUGCUCUGGUGUAAAUGUUUUGAAUGUGCUAUACCUGGUCAUUGGUGUUUGCGAUCAUCUGAGGUGUAAAUGUAUCAAGUAAGCUGUAAAUAUCACUGACAAGUGACCCAUCGACGACACAUAUGCCCGUCCAUUCUUAUCAGUGAUGCAAUAUAUUAUCAGCUAUGCAUCUUCUGGUAAUUGCUAUAACAACUGUUUCAAUUUUCAUUUAGGACUGUGGCUGCAUCACUGGCAUAACUGCACAAGAAAGGCAUGCACGUGACAUUCAGUUUUGAGUUCGCUGGAAAAUCAUACUGAGACUGUGAAUACACCACUCUCGCCUUCACCUGCAUCUCACACAGGAAGGGGACGCAGGUCUCAUUCAGUUUUCAUCUCCAUUCAGAAUCUUACAGAAUGUGAGAAUAACAGUGCAAAAUAACCUGUCAUGGAAAACAGAGACUGAUGUUGACAUGUUCCACAGGCUCUGAGAGUCCUGCCCACACAGGAACCUGGACCACAGCUAAGACCAAAUGAGGCACACACUCCGAUGAGUCUCUUCAAAUGUUUUUUUGUUUUUCUUCAGAGCACAUAAACAUUAUACACUUUUAUAUAUUUCAACAUGACAUACACUACCAGUCAAAAGUUUUUGAACAGUAAGAUUUUUAAUGUUUUUGUAAAGAAUUCUCUUCUGCUCACCAAGCCUGCAUUUAUUUGAUCCAAAAUACAGCAAAAGUAGUAAUAUUGUGAAAUAUUUUUACUUUUUAAAAUAACUGCUUUCUAUUUGAAUAUAUUUUCAAAUGUAAUUUAUACCUGUGAUCAAAGCUAAAUUGUCAGCAUCAUUACUCCAGUCUUACUCCAAGUGUAACAGUAUACACUAUACCAUUCAAAAGCUUGGAGUCAGUGUGUGUGUGUGUAUAUAUAUUUCUGAAAUAUAACAAUGCAAUGUAGUGGGAACAACAGCCAAUUUUAAAAAGGAUUCGCUGUUUCUGAAGUAAGUGAAUAAAAUAAUCAGUGCCCCCAUAUCAACAAGCUUGGCCCCCCUAAAUCUGGAAUCAUAUCACAGCAAACAAUUUUGGGUGAAAUGCAUAGUUUGUCCUGUAAACUAUAAAAAAGAAAAACAUCACCAGCUGCUAAAUUCAAAUCUGCAUUUUCUGGCUGGCACAGAGCCAGAGACACACACGUUUUUAUAGCCAUUAUAACCAAUCUCAUAUGAUUCUGUUGAGCUUAUGAAUGCAAUGGCCAAUCAGAGGCUUAUUGAGAAACGAGUCAUCGCUAAAACACGCUGUUUCAUUACUGAGCGCGCUGGCUGACUGAAUUCUCUGACUAAAGGGCCUUUCGCACUGCUUUAGUUCCAGAACUACAAGUACAGUACUAAAGUACUGGGACGAUUUUGCGUGAACUGUUUCCCAGUACCAUUUAGAGGGUUGCAUUCGCACCGACAGUGGGUACUAAGAAGUGACCUAAGCCGGUCGAUAGCAACGUCAUUUGUACGUGGCGUUCAACAACGUAAACAAAGAAGAACAACGUUAACAACAGGAGGAUGUAGGAUGCUGUUUACUUACACACAUUUGAAAAUCGAGAUAUUUCAUAAUAUAUUUUGGGGAUAUAUCGAACAAAAAAAAAAAAAUCCCUGCUGAAAAAACAAUAGACACCAUUACAAAAUUAGUAAUGGUUUUACUUGUUAUAAUUGUUGUAUUGGUUUUACUGGAAACUGUAAUGGACCCCGUUGGUCUCUACUGGUAAUUGGUGGCUUGUUAAAACCAAUAAAUCAUAACGGAAUAUGUCCCAAAACACACUACAAAAUUUUUUUUUUUAAUGGAUAAAAAUGGUUUUGAUGGUUUGUAAUGUUUGUAAUGGUAUUUGUAGUGGAAACCAUUAAACAUUUCUGUGAUGGUUUUAUUGUUAUUUUUUUUAUUAGGGACAUAAGCCUAUAUCAGUUAUACAGUGGUAUUGUGGCUGCUGUGUGUCACAAUAC